CCUACGGGUGGCUGCAGUGAGGAAUAUUGGUCAAUGGGCGGGAGCCUGAACCAGCCAAGUCGCGUGAGGGAAGAAGGUACUGAGUAUUGUAAACCUCUUUUGCCAGGGGACAAAGGCGGCCACGGGUGGCCGUAAGAGGGUACCUGGAGAAAAAGCAUCGGCUAACUCCGUGCCAGCAGCCGCGGUAAUACGGAGGAUGCGAGCGUUAUCCGGAUUUACUGGGCGUAAAGCGCUCGUAGGCGGUAUGUCAAGUCAAGGGUGAAAUCCCCGCGCUCAACGUGGGAACUGCCUUUGAAACUGGCAAACUGGAGUGUGUGAGAGGAUAGUGGAAUUCCAGGUGUAGGAGUGAAAUCCGUAGAUAUCUGGAGGAACAUCAGUGGCGAAGGCGACUAUCUGGCACAUAACUGACGCUGAGGAGCGAAAGCGUGGGUAGCAAACAGGAUUAGAUACCCUUGUAGUC
rnacentral:rRNA from 1 species